ACGCCAAUACCUUCCAGUUAGAAGGUGGUCAUCGCAUUUUGCCUUCACCGGGAGAUAUUGGCGUCU
rnacentral:pre_miRNA from 1 species